CUCAGGGAGAGGUUGGCCAAAGAACUGCCGGCUUCAGGGCUUCCGUCGGACGCCUUCGCUCGCCAGACACAAAGAUGGCACCGCCCGGACCUGCGCCUUUCACUGGGAAGAGUAAUUGACACAACCCAGGACACAAAUGGUGCUUUUUCUCUGCCAGACCUCUCUGCUCAGCUCCUGGUCUCCUUGACUUUUCACUGUUACUGUUAAUCAGUUGUUUUGAAUACCUUCCCAGAGAAGAUUUUAGAGCUUAUUUGUGGAAACAACUAGGUACACCCAACCUUGGCUACAGCUUUGAGACAAACUCUGGGAAUCCCUUCCACUAUUUCAGUUAUGGGCUGGCUUGCUCUGAAGUAGAAAUUGACUGCUUAACAAACAGGGGAUCAUAAGAAUCCCCGUACAGAUAUCGUCAUGGAUGUUGGUUCCAGCUUGAAUCCUGCCAUUGAUAUUGGACAAGUAGAAGGGGCAUUUGUUCAGGACCUUGGUCUCUUCACUAUGGAGGAGCUGCACUACUCCCCUGAAGGGAACCUGCACACUCAUGGCCCCAGUACCUACAAGAUCCCUGCGUUUGGCAGCAUCCCCAUUGAGUUCAGAGUAUCACUACUCCGGGACUGUUGGGAGCCUCCUCUUUUCAUGGCUUCUUCUAUCUACUUUGCCAUCAAAACACCAUUCACACAGCUCGAGCUCAGCACGGAGAUAAUAAUACAAAACAACUUUUCCAGCUAGACAUCCCUACCACUCCGGAAAAGAUUCGAAACACUUGUGUGGACCAGUUCACCACCCCGUGUGUCACUGGAAUACCAGAAAACUAUAAAUCCUGGUCUGUGAGGACCUGAAGAGAAGUGUUCAGCAGUGUUUUGUACUACAGCGAGGAUUCCUUGUAGCCACAAGCACAGCCUGUAGUAUCCAGAUUUCCACAUGCCGCAUGGGACUCAGCACGAUGGCAUUUUCUAGAAAAUGGACAAUAUUGGUCCAAAUAAGAGUUGCAAACAAACCAAUAAGCAAAUGGGGAGCUGUUGGCCUAAGUAGCAAAGAAGGAGCUUGGGUAAUUUGAGUCUAUUUUGAUCAUGUGUUUGAAAUGAGUUUAGGAAGUAUUUGUGUUAAGUCCCUACUCAUCGAAUGGCCUAUAUAACCAGGAUUCUCACACACCUCCUGAAGCUUAAGCCACAGUUUCUCUAGAUCUGCAUGCCAUAUUCAGAAAGCUUGUAUCUCUCAAGCCACUAAGCGCCAUGUUGUAACCUCAGAGCCACACUCACAGUUUUCAGUGUAACAGCAGAGGGAGAUUAAAACCUCCACCUACAUGUCAUGGAAGACAAUAAAAAUGAAGUGAAAUUGAAAAAAAAAGAUGCACAGCACUGUAGGGUCUAAUCUGUCCAAUUUUAUAAGGCAAACUUAACUGCAAAUUAUUAAUUUAUGUUGAACCUUUAGAAAAACUGAGGUACUAUGGCAACCAUAUAACUGAAAAUUUUAGAAUACUCAGGGUCAUUUGGAGAGUCAUAAGACAUGAACAUAUGCUAAUUUGAGGCAGAUCCUGCCUAUAUCUAUAUGGGAAGAACAGAAAAGAAAAAAAAUAAAAGUUUCAUUUUAGGGCUGCACCUGGGGGAGAUAACAAAUCAAAGGAGCAUCCCUGGCCUCUAAAAGGAAGGCAAUCAUACUCAUUAGACCAAAUCUACAGCGGCAAUAACAUUUUCUAAAGCCUUGCUCCAAGACUCAGAGAUAAAAUACCUUUCUAAGAAUGUGGCUGAACACAUCAUCAGAUAAUGCUACUAUUCCCUGGUCUUUACCACAGUGUGAUACGUAUCACAUUAAAACAAUAGAAUAGAGCUGGAGAGAUGCAAGAGAUAUAGUCUCUCUGUGGUAAAAUGAAAACAGGCAACAUUCAGAAAUUAACCCUAAGCAAACAACCCAUACUCUAAAGAGUAGAUAUUGACACAACAAUUGAAAAUCUGUGGCUGGCAAAGGGUAACUGUAGGAACAGCAAGUACAAGUACAACAACAACAAGAAGAACAACAACAUCCUCACACCAUGACAAGAUUAACACAGACUUAUGCUAACAGCUUAGAACAAAAUUCAUGCUCAUUUCCAAAUGUAAAAAUAUAUACCUUGGUAGUUAUUGCUCUUAUACAUGUGACUAGAUGCCAGCCUAGAAAGGAAGCCUGACAUGAUAUCAAAAUUGGCAUAAAUAAAUACCCUCUCAAGACACAAAACCAUCACCGGUACCAGAUUCAGAUGUGGUUCACAUGAUAAAAAAAGAAAUGUAAAGUUUUUAUAAUUAUAUGUAAUGAAAACAGAAAACAUUCCCAAAGAAAGAUACUAAUAAAGAGAAAUAAUAAAAAUAAUAAAAUGGAAAUGUUAAGAAAACAAAAACCACAGAAGAAAUAAGCACAGUUUUUGUCAAUAACCUUGACUGGGAUGUUAAACUGGAGUAAUAGAGGAAAACAGAGAAUAUAGUAGAUCAAAUACUUGUAGAAAUCACUUAUACCACAAGUAGUGGCACAUACGUAUUUGUACUUGUAACAUUUGGAAUGCCAAGUCAAAAGAUAGUGAGUUCAUGUUGUGCAUUUAAGUUGUGAAUUUAAGGCAAAUUUGGGCUACGUAUGACUACCAGGCCAGCCUGGAGUACAAAGCCAUCUCCUGCAUCUUAAGUCACUUUCCAAAAGGAAAGAAACAACCCUCUAUAAGUUUCAAAGACUACUGAUUGUUAGAAUAUAAUAGAUUCAAGAAGCUUAUAAAAUACCAGAACAGGAUGAACAAUACAAGAGACCGGCAUGUAUAGUAGUCUGAUGUUUUAAAAUAGUCAACUGCUUCCUCUAAAUAAUAUGAUCUCACUUCACAUUAGGGGAAAAUAGCACAUUUACUAACCCCAAAUGUCUUUCCAAAAAGAAUUAUCAAAUGAAAAUCUGCUAUUAUUUACACAUCGAAGCUUUAUUCAUGCAUAAAAAAGAAUGGAUAGGGCUGCUGGUGGUCAUCAAAAGAAAUAAGUCAGUCUCGGUUUCUUUCUUCACAGUCAGAGUUUCUUCAUUUAUAGAAUGUAAAUUAAAACACGCAGAGACUGGCAGAGCCUCUCAGGGGACAUCCAUAUCAGGCUCCUGUCAGCAAGCACUUCUUGGCAUCAGCAAUAGUGACUGGGGUUGGUGGCUGCAUAUGGGAUGGAUCCCCAGGUAAGGCAGUCUCUGGAUGACCCAGUCUGUACCUUCCUUCAGUCCAUGCUCCACACUUUGUCCCUGUAUCUUAGCCGUUCUGACUGGUGUGAGGUGGAAUCUCAGGGUUGUUUUCAUUUGCAUUCCCCUGAUGACUAAGGAUGUUGAACAUUUCUUUAGGUGCUUCUCAGCCACUCGAUAUUUCUCAGUUGAGAAUUUUUGUUUAGUUCUGUACCCCAUUUUUAAUAGGGUUAUUUGGUUCUCUGGAGUCUUAACUUCUUGAGUUAUUUGUAUAUAUCAGAUAUUAGCCCUCUAUCAGAUGUGGGAUUGGUACAGAGCCUUACUGAUACAGAUUAAGAUGCUUACAGCUAACCAUCAGACUGAGUACAGGGACCCCAAUGGAGGAGAUAGAGAAAGGACUGAAGGAGCUGAAGGGGUUUGCAACCCCAUAGGAAGAGCAACAAUAUCAACCAACCAGACUCCCCAGAGCUCCCAGGGACUAAACCACCAACCAAAAAGUACAGAUGGGUGGACAGUCCCAUGGCUCCAGCUGCAUGUGUUGCAGAGGAUGGCACUGUCUGGCGUCAAUAGGAGGAAAAUCCCUUGGUCCUAUGGCUGCUUGUUUCCCCAAGGUAUGGGAAUGCCAGGAUGUUGAGGUGGGAGUGGAUGGGUGGGAUGGGGAGCAUCCUCAUAGAAGCAGGAAAGGGGAUAAGAUUUAAAAUGUGAAUACAUAAAAUAUCCAAUAAAAUUAUAUCAAAAAAGAAGUCUAUGGUAUACAUGUAUAAUAUUUUUGUAUUAAACCAUUUGAUUGUAUACUAGAUUGUAUACUGUUAAAACAAACCUUUACCAAUUGUUGCCUUUAUUUUAAUACACGUCUAUUCAUUCUGGUGUGUGUUGUUUAUUUGUUUCUUUGAGAUAAAGUCUCACUGUGAAGCUAGUGGUCUUCAGCUUGGCAUCAUCUCUGCUCAGUGUCCCAAGUGCUGGAGUUAUAGGUGUUCAUCACUUCCUACUGAUUCACAAAGUCUUGAUAUGCCAGGAAGUAAAGUUUAACUCUUUCUCACUCCUCUUUUGUGUGGCAUAGUCUUAGCCACUUGUUUCUAUUGAACAGAAUGUUGAAAGGGGGCUGUAAUAUCGCAGAAGAGCACCUCAGCAGGUAGUACUUUAACCAAGCGGACAAGGCUAAUAUCGCCUGAACUAAGCCAUUGAUGCCAUGUGCCCUGAUAUAAGGCAAUGAAAAGGGCACUUUACUUUGGUGUCACUGUACUCAGAAAUUCACAAUUUCAAUUAAAUCACGAGACAGCUUUAGACAAAGCUGUCUUGAGGGGCUGUGCAUGGAAGAACUGACCAGUGCUCUUCCAAAGCAUCAAAGCUAGGGCUGGGAAUGUGGUUCAGUAGUAGAAAACUUUCUUAGUAUGCUCAAGACCCUGGGUUUAAUGCUAGGCACUGAAAAGCAUCAUUAAUCUUACAAAACAAAUACUAAGGAUCUAACUCCACAUGAAAGAGAGUAAAUCAUCAUGAUAACUGAACACAGUAUCUAUCCUGGAUUGCAACUGGACAUAGAGAGUUAUAUCAUGUGGUACUUAGAAUGAGAAAUGUCAUCCAUAGACUCAGAUAUUUGAAUUAGUGGUUCCCAGUUGGUAUUGUUGAUUAGGAAGGGAUAGGAGAUGCUGCCUGGUUGGGGAAGUAUGUUACCAGGGGUGAGUCUUCCAAGUAAAUAGCCUCAGCCAGUCACGAGCUGACUCUCUGUUUUAUGCUUGCUGUAAAAAUGUGAUCUGUCAGCUCUUGCUCCUGCUGCCAUUUCUAACAACAUGGUUGUCUGCUGCUAUGCUACUUCACCAUGGAAGGCUAUUAUCUAUCCGAAAGCUGGAAUUGUG